GUCUUUUGUGGUUCCCUGAAGAUCCAGCUCUGGGGUGAAAAUGAAAUCCUUGCAACUCUGCAUGCCAUUUCAAGCAAAAACCAGAUCUGGAGAUCGUAUAUUGGCAUGGGCUAUUAUAACUGCUCAGUGCCACAGACGAUUUUGCGGAACUUACUGGAGAACUCAGGAUGGAUCACCCAGUAUACUCCAUACCAGCCUGAGGUGUCUCAAGGGAGGCUGGAGAGUUUACUCAACUACCAGACCAUGGUGUGUGACAUCACAGGCCUGGACAUGGCCAAUGCAUCCCUGCUGGAUGAGGGGACUGCAGCCGCAGAGGCGCUGCAGCUGUGCUACAGACACAACAAGAGGAGGAAAUUUUUUGUUGACCCCCGUUGCCACCCACAGACAAUAGCUGUUGUCCAGACUCGAGCCAAAUAUACUGGAGUCCUCACUGAGCUGAAGUUACCCUGUGAAAUGGACUUUAGUGGAAAAGAUGUCAGCGGAGUGUUGUUCCAGUACCCAGACACGGAGGGGAAGGUGGAAGACUUUACGGAACUCGUGGAGAGAGCUCAUCAGAGUGGGAGCCUGGCCUGCUGUGCUACUGACCUUUUAGCUUUGUGCAUCUUGAGGCCACCUGGAGAAUUUGGGGUAGACAUUGCCCUGGGCAGCUCACAGAGAUUUGGAGUGCCACUGGGCUAUGGGGGACCCCAUGCAGCCUUUUUUGCUGUCCGAGAAAGCUUGGUGAGAAUGAUGCCUGGAAGAAUGGUGGGGGUAACAAGAGACGCCACUGGGAAAGAAGUGUAUCGUCUUGCUCUUCAAACCAGGGAGCAACACAUUCGGAGAGACAAGGCUACCAGCAACAUCUGUACAGCUCAGGCCCUCUUGGCGAAUAUGGCUGCCAUGUUUGCAAUCUACCAUGGUUCCCAUGGGCUGGAGCAUAUUGCUAGGAGGGUACAUAAUGCCACUUUGAUUUUGUCAGAAGGUCUCAAGCGAGCAGGGCAUCAACUCCAGCAUGACCUGUUCUUUGAUACCUUGAAGAUUCAGUGUGGCUGCUCAGUGAAGGAGGUCUUGGGCAGGGCCGCUCAGCGGCAGAUCAAUUUUCGGCUUUUUGAGGAUGGCACACUUGGUAUUUCUCUUGAUGAAACAGUCAAUGAAAAAGAUCUGGACGAUUUGUUGUGGAUCUUUGGUUGUGAGUCAUCUGCAGAACUGGUUGCUGAAAGCAUGGGAGAGGAGUGCAGAGGUAUUCCAGGGUCUGUGUUCAAGAGGACCAGCCCGUUCCUCACCCAUCAAGUGUUCAACAGCUACCACUCUGAAACAAACAUUGUCCGGUACAUGAAGAAACUGGAAAAUAAAGACAUUUCCCUUGUUCACAGCAUGAUUCCACUGGGAUCCUGCACCAUGAAACUGAACAGUUCAUCUGAACUCGCACCUAUCACAUGGAAAGAAUUUGCAAACAUCCACCCCUUUGUGCCUCUGGACCAAGCUCAAGGAUAUCAGCAGCUUUUCCGAGAGCUUGAGAAGGAUUUGUGUGAACUCACAGGUUAUGACCAGGUCUGUUUCCAGCCAAACAGCGGAGCUCAGGGAGAAUAUGCUGGACUGGCCACUAUCCGAGCCUACUUAAACCAGAAAGGAGAGGGACACAGAACGGUUUGCCUCAUUCCAAAGUCAGCACAUGGGACCAACCCAGCAAGUGCCCACAUGGCAGGCAUGAAGAUUCAGCCUGUGGAGGUGGAUAGAUAUGGGAAUAUCGAUGCAGUUCACCUCAAGGCCAUGGUGGAUAAGCACAAGGAGAACCUAGCAGCCAUCAUGAUUACAUACCCAUCCACCAAUGGGGUGUUUGAAGAAAACAUCAGUGACGUGUGUGACCUCAUCCAUCAACAUGGAGGACAGGUCUACCUAGACGGGGCAAAUAUGAACGCUCAGGUGGGAAUCUGUCGCCCUGGAGACUUUGGAUCUGAUGUCUCACACCUAAAUCUUCACAAGACCUUCUGCAUUCCCCAUGGAGGAGGUGGUCCUGGCAUGGGGCCCAUCGGAGUGAAGAAACAUCUUGCCCCGUUUUUGCCCAAUCAUCCCAUCAUUUCACUAAAGCGGAAUGAGGAUGCCUGUCCUGUGGGAACCGUCAGUGCAGCCCCAUGGGGCUCCAGUUCCAUCUUGCCUAUUUCCUGGGCUUAUAUCAAGAUGAUGGGAGGCAAGGGUCUUAAACAAGCCACGGAAACUGCGAUAUUAAAUGCCAAUUACAUGGCCAAGCGAUUAGAAAAACACUACAGAAUUCUUUUCAGGGGUGCAAGAGGUUAUGUGGGUCAUGAAUUUAUUUUGGACACGAGACCCUUCAAAAAGUCUGCAAAUAUUGAGGCUGUGGAUGUGGCCAAGAGACUCCAGGAUUAUGGAUUUCACGCCCCUACCAUGUCCUGGCCUGUGGCAGGGACCCUCAUGGUUGAGCCCACUGAGUCGGAGGACAAGGCAGAGCUGGACAGAUUCUGUGAUGCCAUGAUCAGCAUUCGGCAGGAAAUUGCUGACAUUGAGGAGGGCCGCAUCGACCCCAGGGUCAAUCCGCUGAAGAUGUCUCCACACUCCCUGACCUGCGUUACAUCUUCCUGCUGGGACCGGCCUUAUUCCAGAGAGGUGGCAGCAUUCCCACUCCCCUUCGUGAAACCAGAGAACAAAUUCUGGCCAACGAUUGCCCGGAUUGAUGACAUAUAUGGAGAUCAGCACCUGGUUUGUACCUGCCCACCCAUGGAAGUUUAUGAGUCUCCAUUUUCUGAACAAAAGAGGGCCUCUUCUUAGUCCUCUCUCCCUAAGUUUAGAGGACUGAUUUGAUGCCUCUCCCGAGAGCAUUUGAUAAGCAAGAAAGAUUUCAUCUCCCACCCCAGCCUCAAGUAGGAGUUUUAUGUACUGUGUAUAUCUCUGUAAUCUCUGUCAAGGUAAAUGUAAAUACAGUAGCUGGAGGGAGUUGAAGCUGAUGGGUGGAAGACGAAUUUGCUUUGGUAUUCUGCUUCUACGUGUGCCAGUUGCCUGGAUUGGGAGCCAUUUUGUGUUUUGCAUAGAAAGUUUUAGGAACUUUUUUUAAUGUGGCAAGUUUGCAGACGUUAUAGAGGCUAUCCCUGGAGACUUAAUAGACAUUUUUUUGUUCCAAAAGAGUCCAUGUGGACUGUGCCAUCUGUGGGAAAUCCCAGGGCAAAUGUUUACAUUUUGUAUACCCUGAAGAACUCUUUUUCCUCUAAUAUGCCUAAUCUGUAAUCAUAUUUCUGAGUGUUUUUCCUCUUUUUCUGUGUGAGGUUUUUUUUAUCUGCAUUUAUUACUAUUCUAAUAAAA
rnacentral:sRNA from 1 species